GUUCUUAUGGUGUAUGAGCACAUAAGAUUUUCAAUCUUUUAGAGCAUUUUAGUUAUUAUAAAUGUUAAGAAUA
rnacentral:tRNA from 1 species